rnacentral:rRNA from 1 species
UACGGAGGGUCCAAGCGUUAUCCGGAAUCAUUGGGUUUAAAGGGUCCGUAGGCGGUUUUGUAAGUCAGUGGUGAAAGCCCAUCGCUCAACGGUGGAACGGCCAUUGAUACUGCAAGACUUGAAUUAUUGGGAAGCAACUAGAAUAUGUAGUGUAGCGGUGAAAUGCUUAGAGAUUACAUGGAAUACCAAUUGCGAAGGUAGGUUGCUACCAAUACAUUGACGCUGAUGGACGAAAGCGUGGGGAGCGAACAGG